CAGCACCUCAAGUGGUCAGGAUGAUUAUUGGGCCUAAAGCAUCCGUAGCCUGCUUUGUUAGUUUUCGGUUAAAUCCAUACGCUCAACGUAUGGGCUGCCGGGAAUACUGCAAAGCUAGGGAGUGGGAGAGGUAGACGGUACUCGGUAGGAAGGGGUAAAAUCCUUUGAUCCAUUGAUGACCACCUGUGGCGAAGGCGGUCUACCAGAACACGUCCGACGGUGAGGGAUGAAAGCUGGGGGAGCAAACCGGAUUAGAGACCCGAGUAGUCC
rnacentral:rRNA from 1 species